rnacentral:rRNA from 1 species
AUUGAACGCUGGCGGCAGGCCUAACACAUGCAAGUCGAGCGGAGCGGCCGACGGGUGAGUAAUGCCUAGGAAUCUGCCUGGUCGAGGGGGAUAACGUCCGGAAACGGGCGCUAAUACCGCAUACUAUCAGAUGAGCCUAGGUCGGAUUAGCCAGUUGGUGGGGUAAAGGCCUACAAAGGAGACGAGCCGUCACUGGUCUUGGAGGAUGAUCAGUCACACUGGAACGGAGCAACGGUCCAGACGCCUACGUGAGGCAGCAGUGGGGAAUAUUGGACAAUGGGCGAAAGCCUGAUCCAGCCAUGCCGCGUGUGUGAAGAAGGUCUUCGGAUUGUAAAGCACUUGAAGUUGGGAGGCGUUACCAACAGAAUAAGCACCGGCUAACUCCGUGCCAGCAGCCGCGGUAAUUC